rnacentral:rRNA from 1 species
GUACGGGAGGCAGCAGUAGGGAAUAUUGGUCAAUGGAUGCAAGUCUGAACCAGCCAUGCCGCGUGCAGGAAGAAGGCCUUCUGGGUUGUAAACUGCUUUUGCCAGGGGAUAAAAAUCUCAUGCGUGAGAAAUUGAAGGUACCUGGUGAAUAAGCCACGGCUAACUACGUGCCAGCAGCCGCGGUAAUACGUAGGUGGCAAGCGUUGUCCGGAUUUAUUGGGUUUAAAGGGUGCGUAGGCGGCCUUGUAAGUCAGUGGUGAAAUACUCUAGCUUAACUAGAGGGGUGCCAUUGAUACUGCAGGGCUUGAGUACAGACGAGGUAGGCGGAAUUGACGGUGUAGCGGUGAAAUGCAUAGAUAUCGUCAAGAACUCCGAUAGUGAAGACAGCUUACUAGGCUGUAACUGACGCUGAGGCACGAAAGUGUGGGGAUCAAACAGGAUUAGAUACCCCGGUAGG